GGAUUGUGGCUCAGUGGCAGAACGCUUGCCUUGCAUGUAUGAGGCACUGGGUUUGAUCCUCAGCACCG
rnacentral:tRNA from 1 species